rnacentral:rRNA from 1 species
CGGACGUAACGACGGUACGAGGAACCCUUGCUUCGGGAGGGACAACAGUUGGAAACGACUGCUAAUACCGCAUGACACAUAUUUAUCGCAUGGUAGAUAUGUCAAAGAUUUAUCGCUGAGAGAUGGCCUCGCGUCUGAUUAGCUAGUUGGUAGGGUAACGGCCUACCAAGGCGACGAUCAGUAGCCGGACUGAGAGGUUGGCCGGCCACAUUGGGACUGAGAUACGGCCCAGACUCCUACGGGAGGCAGCAG